CAAAAUAUAAAUAUUGUUUAGUAAAACAAAUAAAUAUAAACUAUAAUGACAAAGAUUCAAAAUUUUUAGUUGUUUAUUCUUCUCAAAUGUUACAUUAAUUUACCAAGAUUUCACUUACAGAACAAUGGAUUAUGAACAGUUGUUUGCACAAUAUGUGUUAGAGCUGUGUUUGCUAUAUUAUUCAAUUUUGUUAUUAAUAGCUGAGAGAAACGGGCAGAAGAAAAUAAAAAUAACUGAAAUAACUGAAGAGAGAGUAGCCUAAUAAGUCCAAGUGAAAAAGUUACCAUAUCUUAAUGUGAUCAAGAUAAAAAACUUGUCAAACUAGAUUUCACAUACAGAACAAUGGAUUAUGAACAGUUAUUUGCACAAUUUGUGUUAGCAGUGUUUGCUAUAUUAUUCACUUUCGUUAUUAAUAGAUCACAGAAAGGAGCAGAAGAAAAUAACAAAACAACUGAAAAAAUAGGCUAGUGAAAACCCCAAGUGAAAAAAGUAGUUUUAAUUUAGAACAAUAUCAAAAUCUUGUAAAGCAGAUUCAGCAAGAAAAAAUAAACCAUCACAACCGAAGCAUCAUAGCAGCAUCAGUCAAACAUAUUGUGCAAGAAAAAAUGGGAAAGCUUCAACAUAUAUCGGACUGGGUAAGAAGUGCUACGUACCAUCAAAAUACUGCGAAUGACCGCUUUAGUGAGAAACCUACAGUGCUUUCAAGUCCAGCACGUAAAUAUUCCAUCUUUCACGGAUUAGAAAAGAAAAUUCAGCAAUUAAAGGCAAACUCACAGAAGUCGCUAGAUGCCAUCUCUAAGACGUCCAAUCCAGCCAAAAAACAUCAUCGGAUAAAACAGUAUACUGUGUAUAAAUAUAAAGUAUAUUUAAACAAUGGAAUAGCACAAAACAAUAUGUACUAAGCCCUCAAGAUCGUCUGAUAGAUAUCGCAGUGUGAUUUUUCUUUAAAUUAAACAAUGAUGUCCAACCUCAA